CCUACGGGAGGCAGCAGUGAGGAAUAUUGGUCAAUGGACGCAAGUCUGAACCAGCCAUGCCGCGUGCAGGAAGACGGCUCUAUGAGGUGUAAACUGCUGUUGUACGAGGGUAAACGCAGAUACGCGUAUCUGUCUGAAAGUAUCGUACGAAUAAGGAUGGGCUAACUCCGUGCCAGCAGCCGCGGUAAUACGGAGGAUUCAAGCGUUAUCCGGAUUUAUUGGGUUUAAAGGGUGCGUAGGCGGUCGGAUAAGUUAGAGGUGAAAUCCCGAGGCUCAACUUCGGAAUUGCCUCUGAUACUGUUCGGCUAGAGCGUAGUUGCGGUAGGCGGAAUGUAUGGUGUAGCGGUGAAAUGCUUAGAGAUCAUACAGAACACCGAUUGCGAAGGCAGCUUACCAAGCUACUUCUGACGUUGAGGCACGAAAGCGUGGGGAGCAAACAGGAUUAGCUACCCUUGUAGUC
rnacentral:rRNA from 1 species